rnacentral:rRNA from 1 species
UGGGGAAUAUUGCACAAUGGGCGAAAGCCUGAUGCAGCAACGCCGCGUGAGUGAUGAAGGUCUUCGGAUUGUAAAGCUCUGUCUUUUGGGACGAUAAUGACGGUACCAAAGGAGGAAGCCACGGCUAACUACGUGCCGGCAGCCGCGGUAAUACGUAGGUGGCGAGCGUUGUCCGGAUUUACUGGGCGUAAAGGGUGCGUAGGCGGAUGUUUAAGUGAGAUGUGAAAUACCCGGGCUUAACUUGGGUGCUGCAUUUCAAACUGGAUAUCUAGAGUGCAGGAGAGGAGAAUGGAAUUCCUAGUGUAGCGGUGAAAUGCGUAGAGAUUAGGAAGAACACCAGUGGCGAAGGCGAUUCUCUGGACUGUAACUGACGCUGAGGCACGAAAGCGUGGGUAGCAAACAGGAUUAGAUACCCUGGUAGUCCACGCCGUAAACGAUGAGUACUAGGUGUAGGAGGUAUCGACCCCUUCUGUGCCGCAGUAAACACAUUAAGUACUCCGCCUGGGAAGUACGAUCGCAAGAUUAAAACUCU